rnacentral:rRNA from 1 species
UACGUAGGGUGCGAGCGUUGUCCGGAAUUAUUGGGCGUAAAGAGCUCGUAGGCGGUUUGUCGCGUCGGCCGUGAAAACUUGGGGCUUAACCCCGAGCCUGCGGUCGAUACGGGCAGACUUGAGUUCGGCAGGGGAGACUGGAAUUCCUGGUGUAGCGGUGAAAUGCGCAGAUAUCAGGAAGAACACCUAUGGCGAAGGCAGCUCUCUGGGACGGUACUGACGCUGAGACGCGAAAGCGUGGGGAGCGAACAGG